AUACGGAGGAUACAAGCGUUAUCCGGAUUCAUUGGGUUUAAAGGGUGCGCAGGCGGGAUGAUAAGUCAGUGGUGAAAUCUCCCGGCUCAACCGGGAAACUGCCAUUGAUACUGUCGUUCUUGAGUACAGUUGAAGUGGGCGGAAUGUGUCAUGUAGCGGUGGAAUGCUUAGAUAUGACACAGAACACCGAUAGCGAAGGCAGCUCACUAAGCUGUAACUGACGCUCAUGCACGAAAGCGUGGGGAUC
rnacentral:rRNA from 1 species